rnacentral:lncRNA from 1 species
UAAAGGCGAGAUAUGGGGGAGCAUACAUAUUCACAAUGACAACAUCUCCAGACCAAGAACAAGAGGUUGAACGGCUAGUUCAUGACUUGUCUCCGAGCGCAAAUAAGAUCUACCACCUAUCUGGAACUCAAAAGUUCGAGCUGCCAAAGCAAGAGGUGAAAAUAGCCGAGGUAUUUCGCGCAGUUGAGGAUGCGAAGAAACGGUUCACCGUGCAUGCCUGGGGCCUGGUUGAUACCACCUUGGAGGAUGUCUUCAUAAAGGUUGCCAAGGGAGCAAAGGCAUCCAGUGUUAAUAGUUAGUUUGUGCAUUGAUAAUAUUGUGAGAUUUAUAGGCCGACUAAUAUUCUUUUAUGUCUUGACUUUAGCAUAUAUGAUUCUUUAAAGUUCGAGCUGCCAAAGCAAGAGGUGAAAAUAGCCGAGGUAUUUCGCGCAGUUGAGGAUGCGAAGAAACGGUUCACCGUGCAUGCCUGGGGCCUGGUUGAUACCACCUUGGAGGAUGUCUUCAUAAAGGUUGCCAAGGGAGCAAAGGCAUCCAGUGAUAAUAGUUAGUUUGUGCAUUGAUAAUAUUGUGAGAUUUAUAGGCCGACUAAUAUUCUUUUAUGUCUUGACUUUAGCAUAUAUGAUUCUUUUGUGGUUGUACAGAAACAUAUUAUUCUCAUACAUCAGAAAAAAAAGUAACCAUAUGUAACAUUUUUGUUUAUUUUAAAUGUACAAAUGACUCAAUAUAUCAUUGCAGAUAUGCGGGAAUUACAAAAUAUAAGCAUCCA